rnacentral:rRNA from 1 species
AGGACGAACGCUGGCGGCGUGCUUAACACAUGCAAGUCGAGCGAGGCCCUUCCUUCGGGAAGGUGUCCGAGCGGCGAACGGGUGAGUAACACGUGGGCAACCUGCCCCUAGCACUGGGAUAACCCCGGGAAACCGGGGCUAAAUACCGGAUACGACCUUGAGAGGCAUCUCUCUUGGUGGAAAGGGUUACUGGCUAGGGAUGGGCCCGCGGCCUAUCAGCUUGUUGGUGGGGUAACGGCCUACCAAGGCUCCGACGGGUAGCCGGCCUGAGAGGGCGACCGGCCACACUGGGACUGAGACACGGCCCAGACUCCUACGGGAGGCAGCAGUGGGGAAUAUUGCACAAUGGGCGAAAGCCUGAUGCAGCGACGCCGCGUGAGGGAUGACGGCCUUCGGGUUGUAAACCUCUUUCAGCUCCGACGAAGCGAAAGUGACGGUAGGAGCAGAAGAAGCACCGGCCAACUACGUGCCAGCAGCCGC